GACCCAGCAGGAAGGCGCCAUCAUGAGAAAGGGGGCUCUCACAGGACACCAACUCUUGAUCUUGGACUUCUCAUCCUCCAGAACUGUGAGAAAUAAGUUUCUAUUAUUUAUAAGCCACCCAGUUUAUGGUGUUUAUAAAGAGCUGAGACAAACACCACUAAAUCUUGCCCUUAUAAUCCUGUUGAUAAUUACGCAAGAGUAAAUUUUGUUCUGGUCUCAACCAAAUGAUUAAAACUCCGAAUCAGUGGAAUCUGAACUCUGAGCCCUGCUUACAUCCUGCUGGCUGGGAUGGGGAAUGAGGCUGGGGUGAGCAGACACUUAGAAUAUGAGGACAAGAGAGGAGCAGCUGCUCUACCAGCCCUGCACUGCCCACCCAGAAUGCCACCAGGGAGAGAACUCAGCUUCUCUGUUGCUGAAGCCACAGACAUCUUGGGUCUCUGUUCUGUACAACUGAACUGCAUCCUGAUUGAUUUGGGAAUGAUGCCUAUUACCA
rnacentral:lncRNA from 1 species